CGCGUAGGCGGAUUUUUAAGUCUGGUGUGAAAACUUGGGGCUCAACCCCAAGCCUGCAUUGGAAACUGGAGAUCUUGAGGACAGGAGAGGAAAGUGGAAUUCCACGUGUAGCGGUGAAAUGCGUAGAGAUGUGGAGGAACACCAGUGGCGAAGGCGACUUUCUGGACUGUAACUGACGCUGAGGCGCGAAAGCGUGGGGAGCAAACAGGAUUAGAUACCCUGGUAGUCCACGCCGUAAACGAUGAGUGCUAGGUGUAGAGGGUAUCGACCCCUUCUGUGCCGCAGUUAACACAAUAAGCACUCCGCCUGGGGAGUACGGCCGCAAGGUUGAA
rnacentral:rRNA from 1 species